GAUGAAUCGGGUCGCCCCUACAUGACGUAUAAUGCCCGGCGAAAGACCUCUAAUGCUACCGUGAAAGUAAUUGGUCAGGGUACUGGUGUGAUUAGCAUUAACGAAACAGACAUACACUUUUUCCAAAGAGAACAAGAUAAAAAGCAGAUAAUUUUCCCUUUACAAUUCAACGAUAUGCUAGGGAAAGUUGACGUUGUGGCUACUGUGGACGGCUGAGGCACUUCUGCCCAAUCGGGUGCGAUUCGCCUUGGCAUUUCCAUGUGCCUGAGAUCUUUCGUAAACGCAGAGACCAUAGAGCGCAUGCGUUUGGCCGGACUUCUUUCAUUUGACCCGCGAACACGUGAAAGGAAGAAGCCCGGUCAAGCUGGUGCUCGAAAAAGUUCACGUGGAAGAAACGAUAGUCAACUUUAAAGUCUUAUGGAUGAGUAAAUACAAAUUAAUCGAUACAUUUUU